UACGUAGGGUGCGAGCGUUGUCCGGAUUUAUUGGGCGUAAAGGGUUCGUAGGCGGCGUGUCGCGUCGGGAGUGAAAGCCCGUUGCUUAACGGCGGGUUGGCUUUCGGUACGGGCAUGCUGGAGUGCGGCAGGGGAGACUGGAAGUUCCUGGUGUAGCGGUGGAAUGCGCAGAUAUCAGGAGGAACACCGGUGGCGAAGGCGGGUCUCUGGGCCGUUACUGACG
rnacentral:rRNA from 1 species